CGUAAAGCGCAUGCAGGUGGUUUGUUAAGUCAGAUGUGAAAGACCCGGGGCGUCAACCUCGGAAUUGCAUUUGUAAACUAGGCAAACUAGAGUACUGUAGAGGGGGGUAGGAAUUUCAGGUGUAGCGGUGAAAUAGCGUAGAGAUCUGAAGGAAUACCGGUGGCGAAGGCGGCCCCCUCGGACAGAUACUGACACUCAGAUGCGAAAGCGUGGGGAGCAAACAGGAUUAGAUACCCUGGUAG
rnacentral:rRNA from 1 species